UACGUAGGAGGCGAGCGUUGUCCGGAUUUACUGGGCGUAAAGCGCGCGCAGGCGGCACUGUAAGUAAGGUGUGAAAUCUCCCUGCUCAACGGGGAGGGUGCAUUUUAGACUGCAGAGCUAGAGGACGGUAGAGGGGGGUGGAAUUGCUGGUGUAGCGGUGAAAUGCGUAGAUAUCGGGAGGAACACCGGUGGCGAAGGCGGCUACCUGGACGGAUACUGACGCUGAGACGCGAAAGCGUGGGGAGCAAACAGG
rnacentral:rRNA from 1 species